UUGGAAAGGUGGUAACUGUCACAUGAGGGUCUCAGGCCAGGCAGGGGAAAGGGAAGUGAUGAGGAGGAAUCUCUGACCAUCUAUCUCCAUUUUCUGAAUCCUUUGAUGUGAAUGCUUGACCUAAGCAGGUUUGAUCUCAAUGGAUACUGAAGCUGGACUGCUGCGCCUUCCAACUCUUGCAAUUUCUGGGGAAAGAGGGCAGCUGGGUUUAGAUGAAGAGGACAGAGGAACAGUAAAAAAAGAAAUAUUUAACAUGGAGAAUGUCAAUUGCUGAGAAGAGCAGAGUUAAGGUGCUUCAUUGUUCACAUGCUAAAAACAUGCCAGAAGACAAUAUCGCUCUUUACUUUCACUGUGGAUACAGAAUGACUAGAUUAGCUGAUGACAUUCAGAUUUAGCUAUUUAGAAAAAGGUAUCUGCCUGCUUUGGUGACAAAACACUCAAGGAGACUCACAAACAAAAGAAAGACAUAGGGCUUCUUUCUGAAAACUGCA